rnacentral:rRNA from 1 species
GUCGAGCGAACAGACGAGGAGCUUGCUCCUCUGACGUUAGCGGCGGACGGGUGAGUAACACGUGGAUAACCUACCUAUAAGACUGGGAUAACUUCGGGAAACCGGAGCUAAUACCGGAUAAUACAUUGAACCGCAUGGUUCAAUAGUGAAAGACGGUUUUGCUGUCACUUAUAGAUGGAUCCGCGCCGCAUUAGCUAGUUGGUAAGGUAACGGCUUACCAAGGCAACGAUGCGUAGCCGACCUGAGAGGGUGAUCGGCCACACUGGAACUGAGACACGGUCCAGACUCCUACGGGAGGCAGCAGUAGGGAAUCUUCCGCAAUGGGCGAAAGCCUGACGGAGCAACGCCGCGUGAGUGAUGAAGGUCUUCGGAUCGUAAAACUCUGUUAUUAGGGAAGAACAAAUGUGUAAGUAACUAUGCACGUCUUGACGGUACCUAAUCAGAAAGCCACGGCUAACUACGUGCCAGCAGCCGCGGUAAUACGUAGGUGGCAAGCGUUAUCCGGAAUUAUUGGGCGUAAAGCGCGCGUAGGCGGUUUUUUAAGUCUGAUGUGAAAGCCCACGGCUCAACCGUGGAGGGUCAUUGGAAACUGGAAAACUUGAGUGCAGAAGAGGAAAGUGGAAUUCCAUGUGUAGCGGUGAAAUGCGCAGAGAUAUGGAGGAACACCAGUGGCGAAGGCGACUUUCUGGUCUGUAACUGACGCUGAUGUGCGAAAGCG